rnacentral:tRNA from 1 species
GGCAGCACAGUGGUUAGCACUUCUGCCUCACAGGAAGAAGGUUCUGGGUUCAAGCCCAGGUCA